rnacentral:rRNA from 1 species
GCUUGUCUCAAAGAUUAAGCCAUGCAUGUCUAAGUACAUACCUUUGCACGGUGAAACCGCGAAUGGCUCAUUAAAUCAGUUAUGGUUCCUUAGAUCGUUCUUUUUACAUGGAUAACUGUGGUAAUUCUAGAGCUAAUACAUGCAAAAAGCUCCGACCGUAUGGGAAGAGCGCUUUUAUUAGACCAAAACCAAUGGGGUCGCAAGAUCCCUUUGUCUGGUGACUCUGGAUAACUUUGUGCUGAUCGCAUGGCCUUGAGCCGGCGACGUAUCUUUCAAGUGUCUGCCCUAUCAACUUUCGAUGGUAAGCGAUUUGCCUACCAUGGUUGUAACGGGUAACGGGGAAUCAGGGUUCGAUUCCGGAGAGGGAGCAUGAGAAAUGGCUACCACAUCUACGGAAGGCAGCAGGCGCGCAAAAUUACCCACUCCUAGAACGGGGAGGUAGUGACGAAAAAUAACAAUACCGGACUCAAUGAGGCUCGGUAAUUGAAAUGAGUACAGUUUAAAA